AAUGAACGUUGGCGGCGUGGAUUAGGCAUGCAAGUCGUGCGAGAAGCUUUCUUUCGGGAGAGCGGAAAGCGGCGAAAGGGAGAGUAACGCGUGGAUCACCAACCCCUGGGUUCGGAAUAGCGGCGGGAAACUGCCGGUAAUGCCGGAUAACAUCUCCGGAUCAAAGCUACGGCGCCUGGGGACGGGUCCGCGUCCUAUUAGCUAGUUGGCGGGGUAAUGGCCCACCAAGGCGAAGAUGGGUACCGGGUGUGAGAGCAUGGCCCGGCUCACUGGGACUGAGACACUGCCCAGACACCUACGGGUGGCUGCAGUCGAGGAUCUUCGGCAAUGGACGCAAGUCUGACCGAGCGACGCCGCGUGCGGGAUGAAGGCCUUCGGGUUGUAAACCGCUGUCAGAGAGGCGGAAAGGGCAAGCUUGACCUAUUCUCAGAGGAAGUACGGGCUAAGUUCGUGCCAGCCGCCGCGGUAAUAC
rnacentral:rRNA from 1 species